rnacentral:rRNA from 1 species
AUUGAACGCUGGCGGCAUGCUUUACACAUGCAAGUCGAACGGCAGCGCGGGGCAACCUGGCGGCGAGUGGCGAACGGGUGAGUAAUAUAUCGGAACGUACCCAGAAGUGGGGGAUAACGUAGCGAAAGUUACGCUAAUACCGCAUACGAUCUACGGAUGAAAGUAGGGGACCGCAAGGCCCUAUGCUUUUGGAGCGGCCGAUAUCUGAUUAGCUAGUUGGUGAGGUAAAGGCUCACCAAGGCGACGAUCAGUAGCUGGUCUGAGAGGACGACCAGCCACACUGGAACUGAGACACGGUCCAGACUCCUACGGGAGGCAGCAGUGGGGAAUUUUGGACAAUGGGCGCAAGCCUGAUCCAGCAAUGCCGCGUGAGUGAAGAAGGCCUUCGGGUUGUAAAGCUCUUUUGUCAGGGAAGAAACGGUGGAGGCUAAUAUCCUUUGCUAAUGACGGUACCUGAAGAAUAAGCACCGGCUAACUACGUG